GGCGACCAUAGCGUUUUGGACCCACCUGAUCCAUUCCGAACUCAGAAGUGAAACGAAAUAGCGCCGAAGGUAGUGUGGGGUUUCCCCAUGUGAGAGUAGGACAUCGCCAGGC
rnacentral:rRNA from 1 species